rnacentral:lncRNA from 1 species
GAGAUGAAAAAAUUCUAGUUAUGAGUUCGAUAUUAGCAUGAAGGAGAGAUAGGAAGAGGAAGAAGAAGAAGAGUGUCUAUUGCUACAGUUUUGAUUGAUAGAAAAAGGUAUAAUAUAGAGGUAGGGAUACAAAUAGAUCCGGGUUGGUGGAGCUCCCACCUCGAUCCGCCCCGACGGGGGCAGUAAAUGGGAGAAAAUAAACGGAUUCGGGGCAGGAAACGGGGUAAAUUUUAUGAUCCGAGACGGAUUCGGGGUAGGAAACGGGAGAAAUUUUGACCCGCCCUGAAUCCGCCCCAAAAAUCAUUUAUAUUUUAAAAAAAUAUUCCUAAAAAAUAAUGUAUUUACAAAAAAAGUUCAAAAUACAAAUAAGUUAGUACUCUCAUUUCUAAUGUAUUUGAAACUUUUGAAUUUUUGUUUUGAAUUGUGAUUGAUAUUUUUGAUUUUUAUAAUUGAUAUUGUUAUAUUAUAUAUAUAAUAUUAUUAAAAAUUAUUAAUUUAUAAUUUAUAAAAUAUUAAUAAUAUUAUAAUUUUAUAAAAAAUAUUAGUUGGCUGAGCGGAUUCGGAGCGUCGGCGGGAGGCGGGUUACGAGGCGGGGUGGAUUAUGGAAUGUAUUUUUUAGGGAUAAUUGCCUAUAUACCCCUCAUACGUUUGGAAAUAUUCGAUCUACCCCUACAUUUCUUUUUCUUUCUAAAAUUGUCACGCCUCGAGACCGCUACCAAUUUGGUCCGGUUCGGGUGCGUCAAACAGACGCCAAACGGACAACACCUCUCCUGUCCGCCCAAUACUAAACAACCAGAUCAUAUACAA